rnacentral:rRNA from 1 species
UACGAAGGGGGCUAGCGUUGCUCGGAAUUACUGGGUGUAAAGCGCACGUAGGCGGUUUCUUAAGUCGGGGGUGAAAUCCUGGAGCUCAACUCCAGAACUGCCUUCGAUACUGGGAAACUUGAGUCCGGGAGAGGUGAGUGGAACUGCGAGUGUAGAGGUGAAAUUCGUAGAUAUUCGCAAGAACACCAGUGGCGAAGGCGGCUCACUGGCCCGGUACUGACGCUGAGGUGCGAAAGCGUGGGGAGCAAACAGG